rnacentral:lncRNA from 1 species
AUGCCAACGUGGAUUCCAAACACACAGCUCAAACUUAGAAAAUCUCAGAUGUCCUCUGAGAAAUCAGGAGUAAGCUCUUGUCCCACUGAUUUUCAUUUGUUUGUUGGUCUUCCUUGUUUAUCACAGAUUUUUGGUUUAAGAAAUUCUCCAGCCACAAGCUCAGCCUGUCAGUCUGUCGGAGUUCCUCACAGACAGGAAUGCAGGCUCAGGACUCUGAAGUAUACAACCUUCACACCUGAAACGUCUGUGAGCCUAAGUGUCUGCUGCAAUGCCGGAAGCAGGGAGCCGGGAGGACUGUGGCUGGCUGUGCGCAGGCUGACUCAGAAUCGCUGGGGAAGCUUGUGGAACACGAAGAUUCCUGCAUGUGCCACAUCUCAGAUCGAAAUUCACAGUGCUGGGCUGGUUCUAAGUACUGGGUCAUCUCCAAGCACAAGUAGAAAAUUUUCUGAAGGGUUAAGCAAGUACAUCUCCCUUAGGAUAACAUGAUCAACUCUUUGAGGCUCAGAGCCCUGACUCCAACUGAGCUUGUUUCCCACAAUACCGAAUUCUCAAACAGGAAUGGUGGGAGCAGUGGAUCACACAGCACACACACCUUACGGCAUCAAGCUGGCGCGGCCACUCAUUUCACAGAUGUGAAGACACGGUCAGAAAAUGACCAAGCAGCUGGCCUAGGUCACAGGUGCUGACCUACUCACGGAGCCUGGUAUGGAUCCAGAUCCCCUGACCCCAAGUCCAGCGCCACUGCCAUGGUGUCUUACAGCAGACACUGUAGUUAAUCAACAUCCGCGGAAGGGAUUUGAGUUGGGGCUGAAGUUGUGUUUCCAGGAUCCUGGUAAGGAAGCUGCACUUUGGAUCCCUUCCCAGGGGCAGAGACCCCGAUGCUACAGUGCUUGAGUGCAUCAGCAAAGACUCCACAGAUGCGUCUGGAUGAAGUUAGCAGCCAAUGGCUGUGUGAUGGGGCACUGCCAUCAGUGUGAUGGAACAUCUUUCUUUCUUCUUAAUUUUGUGAUUUGAACAAAAAAAUGAACUAAAAUACAUUGUGAUGAUGGCAAAAGAUAUUCCUCUGGUCCUACCCUUUGAGACAGAGAAAGGACAAAUAAAGCCACUACUCAAGGUCCUACGGCUUUUCUCUCAAAUUUGUCUUUAUUUGUAACAUCU